UCUGGUUCAGAACGAACGCUGGCGGCGUGCUUAACACAUGCAAGUCGAACGCGAAAGGGACUUCGGUCCUGAGUAAAGUGGCGCACGGGUGAGUAACGCGUAGAUAACCUGUCUUCAUGUCUGGAAUAAUACGCCGAAAGGGGUACUAAUACCGGAUAUUCUUGCUUUUCAUAAGUUAUGCAAGCAAAGGUGGCCUCUGCAUAUGCUACUGCAUGAAGAGGGGUCUGCGUACCAUUAGCUAGUAGGUGGGGUAAUGGCCUACCUAGGCGACGAUGGUUAGCGGGUCUGAGAGGGUGAUCCGCCACACUGGCACUGGAACACGGGCCAGACUCCUACGGGAGGCAGCAGUGAGGAAUAUUGCGCAAUGGGGGAAACCCUGACGCAGCGACGCCGCGUGAGUGAGGAAGGCCUUCGGGUCGUAAAGCUCUGUCAAGAGGAAAGAAGUGUACAAUGGCUAAUACCUGUUGUAUUUGACGGUACCUCUAAAGGAAGCACCGGCUAACUCCGUGCCAGCCGCCGC
rnacentral:rRNA from 1 species